GAUGAACGCUGGCGGCGUGCCUAAUACAUGCAAGUCGAGCGAACAGACGAGGAGCUUGCUCCUCUGACGUUAGCGGCGGACGGGUGAGUAACACGUGGAUAACCUACCUAUAAGACUGGGAUAACUUCGGGAAACCGGAGCUAAUACCGGAUAAUAUAUUGAACCGCAUGGUUCAAUAGUGAAAGACGGUUUUGCUGUCACUUAUAGCUGGAUCCGCGCCGCAUUAGCUAGUUGGUAAGGUAACGGCUUACCAAGGCAACGAUGCGUAGCCGACCUGAGCGGGUGAUCGGCCACACUGGAACUGAGACACGGGCCAGACUCCUACGGGAGGCAGCAGUAGGGAAGUUUCCGCAAUGGGCGAAAGCCUGACGGAGCAACGCCGCGUGAGAGAUGAAGGUCUUCGGAUCGUAAAACUCUGUUAUUAGGGAAGAACAAAAGUGUAAGUAACUAUGCACGUCUUGACGGUACCUAAUCAGAAAGCCACGGCUAACUACGUGC
rnacentral:rRNA from 1 species